UACAGAGGUCCCAAGCGUUGUUCGGAUUCACUGGGCGUAAAGGGUGCGCAGGUGGGUUUGCAAGUUCGAUGUGAAAGCCCCAGGCUUAACCCGGGAAUGGCAUUGGAUACUGCAGAUCUGGAGGAUCGGAGGGGGGACUGGAAUUCUUGGUGUAGCAGUGAAAUGCGUAGAUAUCAAGAGGAACACCAGUGGCGAAGGCGAGUCCCUGGACGAUACCUGACACUGAGGCACGAAAGCUAGGGGAGCAAACAGG
rnacentral:rRNA from 1 species